rnacentral:rRNA from 1 species
GUUGAACGCUGGCGGCAGGCCUAACACAUGCAAGUCGAACGUGUGGCGGGCGGGUGUUUAAUGUCGGGGACACGGCCUGCUGGAGGGGGGUAACCACUGGAAACGGGAGCAAUUACCGCAUUCCAUCGGGUGUCCCCAGAGGGGAGUAUCUGGUAGGUGGGGUUAAGGCGCACCUAGGCGCCGAUCCCUAGCUGGUCUGAGAGGAUGACCAGGCAAACUGGAACUGAGACACGGUCCAGACGCCUACGGGAGGCAGCAGUGGGGAAUAGUGCAAAAUGGGAGAAAGGCUGAUGCAGCCAUGCCGCGUGUAUGAAGAAGGCAUUCGGGUUGUAAAGUACUUUCAGCGGGGCGGCGUUACGCGCAGAAGAAGCACCGGCUAACUACGUGCCAGCAGCCGCGGUAAUAC